rnacentral:SRP_RNA from 1 species
CGGCUGUAAUGGUCAAAUGGCGAAGUCACUCAGCGUUUCUCGCUUAUCAACUCCUACCACCCAUCCCCGUAAGAUCCCCCUCGCCUGGCGCCCAGUUCGAACGCCGCGGUGGUUGCAAGCUCGCGUAGGCAACUCGCGAUUGCUCAGCAACCCUAAGCACCGAAGAUGACACUUGAGGGAGGUCUCACUCUGCAGAGGCAUUUUCCCCGUCGCGUGGCGAAUUGGAUAACGACCGCGAGGGGUUUGGGUUAGGAGGGCGAGAUGGAGAUGACGACGUUUUUUUU